AUUGAACGCUGGCGGCAUGCCUUACACAUGCAAGUCGAACGCGAAAGAGGGGCAACCCUUGAGUAGAGUGGCGAACGGGUGAGUAACGCAUCGGAACAUAUCCAGUAGUGGGGGAUAACCCAUCGAAAGAUGGGCUAAUACCGCAUACGCCCCGAGGGGGAAAGUUGGGGAUCCGCAAGGACCUCACGUUAUUGGAGCGGCCGGUGUCCGAUUAGCUAGUUGGCGGGGUAAGAGCCCACCAAGGCGACGAUCGGUAGCUGGUCUGAGAGGAUGAUCAGCCACACUGGGACUGAGACACGGCCCAGACUCCUACGGGAGGCAGCAGUGGGGAAUUUUGGACAAUGGGGGCAACCCUGAUCCAGCCAUGCCGCGUGAGUGAAGAAGGCCUUCGGGUUGUAAAGCUCUUUCGGCCGGAACGAAAUCGCAUCCUCUAAUACGGGGUGUGGAUGACGGUACCGGAAGAAGAAGCACCGGCUAACUACGUGCCAGCCGCCGCCGUAA
rnacentral:rRNA from 1 species